GUGCCAGCCGCCGCGGUAAUACAGAGGGUGCGAGCGUUAAUCGGAAUUACUGGGCGUAAAGCGCGCGUAGGCGGCUUAGCAAGUCGGAUGUGAAAUCCCCGGGCUUAACCUGGGAACUGCAUUCGAAACUGCUUUGCUUGAGUAUGGGAGAGGGAGGUGGAAUUUCCGGUGUAGCGGUGAAAUGCGUAGAUAUCGGAAGGAACAUCAGUGGCGAAAGCGACCUCCUGGACCAAUACUGACGCUCAUGUGCGAAAGCGUGGGGAGCAAACAGGAUUAGAAACCCUCGUAGUCC
rnacentral:rRNA from 1 species